CAAUUGUUUUUCAGUUAAUUAAGAGCACUUUUUCCUCUAAAAUAUACAGGGAGGAUAAGUUUAUAACCCAUUAUGUAAUAAGUAACGAUGUGCAAUAAUAACUGCCAUGCUGGUGGGAGGAAUGAGGAAAAAGAUUAAAAAGAGAAAGAUUCUCAAAACAAUGGUCGGGUGUGGUGAAAUAAUCCUCUCGACCUACCUGAUAUUUCAGGUAUUUCAUCAGUAAUACCCAAGUAAACUUUAAACUAUAAGUUGAUGCCUGCAAUCAUACUGUAUAAAGGUAUUGUAACUCCUCCCCUACAACUCAGCCCCCAUUUGCUGGCUACUUUCAUCAGCACAUAAAAGACUGAACCAGAGUACAGUAUUACAUACAUUGCUGCGGAUCAUAAAGCAAAAUAAAUUACAAUCAAAAUCCAAAAUCCGAACAAUGGAUCCCAGUCAGUUUUCCAGUCAGCCUCCAGAAGCCUACAAAUCAUCUGGGAAAUCAGGGAUGCCAGCAGCGCCACCACCAGCAUACCAGCACAAUCCUGCUGGAUAUCCUCCUUCCUUUCUGAACCAGCCGGUCCCCCAGGGCCCAUACACCCAGGGGCCAUAUCCAGGACAGCCUGCGGUCACUGUACAGCCUGCUGUUUUUGUGACCGCCGCUCCACUGGCCAAUCCAGUGCCAGAUUACCUGGCCUAUUCCAUCUUCACCAUGCUGUGCUGCUGCUUACCUCUGGGCAUUGCUGCGCUGAUUUACUCCAUCUUUACUCGAGAUGCCAACAACUCAGGACAGCGAGAAUUAGCAGAGAAGAACUCCAAAACUGCACGCACCCUGAAUCAUGUCGCCCUUGGUAUUGGCCUCGUUGUCAUUGUAGUGAUCAUCAUCAGCCAGAUUGUGAUUCGGACUGCUAGAUAA
rnacentral:lncRNA from 1 species